GCACAAGCGGUGGAGCAUGUGGUUCAAUUCGAUGCAGAGCGAAGAACCUUACCUGGGCUUGACAUGCAGGAAGUAGAAACCGGAAACGGGGACGACCUGUUAAGUCAGGAACCUGCGCAGGUGGUGCAUGGCUGUCGUCAGCUCGUGCCGUGAGGUGUUGGGUUAAGUCCCGCAACGAGCGCAACCCUCACUCUAUGUUGCCAUCGGGUAAUGCCGGGCACUCUUAGGGAACUGCCGGCGAAGAGCUGGAGGAAGGGGGGGAUGACGUCAAGUCCGUAUGCCCCUUAUGUCCAGGGCUACACACAUGCUACAAUGGCCGAUACAGAGGGUUCCCAACCCGCGAGGGGGAGGCAAUCCCACAAAGUCGGUCUCAGUUCGGAUUGCAGGCUGCAACUCGCCUGCAUGAAGUCGGAAUCGCUAGUAAGCGCAGAUCAGCAGGCUGCGGUGAAUACGUUCCCGGGC
rnacentral:rRNA from 1 species